AUCUACGAAGUCUGUUGUCAGUGAAACUGCACACGGCCCGCAUUCAAGUAUAAAGGAAAGUGUGGAUUUGGGUACACCUGUGAGAAAUGAGACCUCAAAGUUGUGUAAUGCUACGCCUUCUGUUCAUUUCAACCCCGGAUUAUCUUCAACUCCUGGAUUAUCACAUAAUUGCUAUUUGCCCCAAAUUAUAGCAGAGAGGGACUCAUUACACAAGGAGUCUUUUGACUGCAUGUCUGGAAUAGAAGUGUUGGAAUCAUCGGAUUUGGGAUCAAAUGUUGACACCUUUACUAAUGAAGGUGUAUAGAAACCCUACCUGGGCAGUAGUUUUGUGGAUCCAUUUUCAAUCACAAUUGAUGCAUCUGAAAUUUGUAAUCAAGAUGAAGAUUCAUCAGAUGAAGAUUAUCAACCCAGCAUUACAAUUAAUUUGAGGUAAAAGUCCUAUAAUGUAAUUCACUUUUUCCACAUAACUCAA